rnacentral:rRNA from 1 species
AAUUUUGGACAAUGGGGGAAACCCUGAUCCAGCCAUCCCGCGUGUUUGAUGAAGGCCUUCGGGUUGUAAAGUACUUUUGGCAGAGAAGAAAAGGUCCCUUCUAAUACGAGGUACUGCUGACGGUAUCUGCAGAAUAAGCACCGGAUAUCUACGUGCCAGCAGCCGCGGUAAUACGUAGGGUGCAAGCGUUAAUCGGAAUUACUGGGCGUAAAGCGUGUGUAGGCGGUUCGGAAAGAAAGAUGUGAAAUCCCAGGGCUAAACCUUGGAACUGCAUUUUUAACCGCCGAGCUAGGGUAUGUCAGAGGGGGGUAGAAUUCCACGUGUAGCAGUGAAAUGCGUGGAUAUGUGGAGGAAUACCGAUGGCGAAGGCAGCCCCCUGGGAUAAUACUGACGCUCAGACACGAAAGCGUGGGGAGCAAACAG